rnacentral:rRNA from 1 species
UAGGGAAUCUUCGGCAAUGGACGGAAGUCUGACCGAGCAACGCCGCGUGAGUGAAGAAGGUUUUCGGAUCGUAAAGCUCUGUUGUAAGAGAAGAACGAGUGUGAGAGUGGAAAGUUCACACUGUGACGGUAUCUUACCAGAAAGGGACGGCUAACUACGUGCCAGCAGCCGCGGUAAUACGUAGGUCCCGAGCGUUGUCCGGAUUUAUUGGGCGUAAAGCGAGCGCAGGCGGUUAGAUAAGUCUGAAGUUAAAGGCUGUGGCUUAACCAUAGUACGCUUUGGAAACUGUUUAACUUGAGUGCAAGAGGGGAGAGUGGAAUUCCAUGUGUAGCGGUGAAAUGCGUAGAUAUAUGGAGGAACACCGGUGGCGAAAGCGGCUCUCUGGUCUGUAACUGACGCUGAGGCUCGAAAGCGUGGGGAGCAAACAGGAUUAGAUACCCUGGUAGUCCACGCCGUAAACGAUGAGUGCUAGGUGUUGGGUCCUUUCCGGGACUCAGUGCCGCAGCUAACGCAUUAAGCACUCCGCCUGGGGAGUACGACCGCAAGGUU